rnacentral:rRNA from 1 species
UCGAACGAUGAACCACUUCGGUGGGGAUUAGUGGCGAACGGGUGAGUAACACGUGGGCAAUCUGCCCUGCACUCUGGGACAAGCCCUGGAAACGGGGUCUAAUACCGGAUACUGAUCCUCUUGGGCAUCUUGGAUGAUCGAAAGCUCCGGCGGUGCAGGAUGAGCCCGCGGCCUAUCAGCUAGUUGGUGAGGUAAUGGCUCACCAAGGCGACGACGGGUAGCCGGCCUGAGAGGGCGACCGGCCACACUGGGACUGAGACACGGCCCAGACUCCUACGGGAGGCAGCAGUGGGGAAUAUUGCACAAUGGGCGAAAGCCUGAUGCAGCGACGCCGCGUGAGGGAUGACGGCCUUCGGGUUGUAAACCUCUUUCAGCAGGGAAGAAGCGAAAGUGACGGUACCUGCAGAAGAUUCUUUUGGCUAACUACGUGCCAGCAGCCGCGGUAAUACGUAGGGCGCGCCCCCCUGUCCGGAAUUAUUGGGCGUAAAGAGCUCGUAGGCGGCUUGUCACGUCGGUUGUGAAAGCCCGGGGCUUAACCCCGGGUCUGCAGUCGAUACGGGCAGGCUAGAGUUCGGUAGGGGAGAUCGGAAUUCCUGGUGUAGCGGUGAAAUGCGCAGAUAUCAGGAGGAACACCGGUGGCGAAGGCGGAUCUCUGGGCCGAUACUGACGCUGAGGAGCGAAAGCGUGGGGAGCGAACAGGAUUAGAUACCCUGGUAGUCCACGCCGUAA